GAGGCUGAGGGAGCCUCAGGGAGCCUGAGGGGGGCGGCGGGAGCGGAGCACGCCGAGCGGCCGGAGUGAGCCCACAAAUAUUUAGGGUUGGAAGGGACCUCUGGAGACCAUCCAGUGCUACCAGGGUCACUUGAAGCAGAAAAUGCAACUGCUGUUCGUGACAAGCACAUGAUUUACAAAAUGAAGAGUAAAGAAUCGUGUCAGCUAGAGAGAGAGAAGGAAGAUGAAACAAGCACAGGAAUACACAGGAGGGAAAAAGAAGCAGCAAGAACAUUGUGUUCAUUAGCCACAGACCCAAAUUAGCUUUGGAAAGAGAUCUGGAAAUUAUAUUAACUACUGCUAUGAAAGCAUCAGAAGCGGCCAAACUUCCCACACCCCAAACGUGUUUGGUGCCCCUAAUUGGCAGCAGCAGAGGGUUGGCAUUUCACAAGGUGAUUGUGACACCGUCCUGCAUGAGCUGCAUUUUCCACCUGGAUGCCAUCAGCUGGGAGUGCUGAGGCCCAGCUGCACAGGUGACAUCCCUGGGAGAGGAACACGCAGUUCCUCCUCAAGUACUUCCUCCAGCAGAUAAAAGACACCACGACUUUCUGCUUCUGCGACAAACAGGCAUUUUACACGCUGCUGGAAGACUUUUUCCCCCUUUCAGUCAGCACAGCUGAACAAUAGAUAAUAACAACCUUUUUCCUUUGUGUGCAUGUUCUGCUCUUUUUCACUGCUUAAAUAAAAAAAAGUACAAAAAUGAAACAUA